rnacentral:rRNA from 1 species
AACGCGAAGAACCUUACCUAAGCUUGACAUCCUUUUGACCUCUCCCUAAUCGGAGAUUUCCCUUCGGGGACAAAAGUGACAGGUGGUGCAUGGUUGUCGUCAGCUCGUGUCGUGAGAUGUUGGGUUAAGUCCCGCAACGAGCGCAACCCUUGCCUUUAGUUGCCAGCAUUAAGUUGGGCACUCUAGAGGGACUGCCAGGGAUAACCUGGAGGAAGGUGGGGAUGACGUCAAAUCAUCAUGCCCCUUAUGCUUAGGGCUACACACGUGCUACAAUGGGUGGUACAGAGGGUUGCCAAACCGUGAGGUGGAGCUAAUCCCUUAAAGCCAUUCUCAGUUCGGAUUGUAGGCUGAAACUCGCCUACAUGAAGCUGGAGUUACUAGUAAUCGCAGAUCAGAAUGCUGCGGUGAAUGCGUUCCCGGGUCUUGUACACACCG